UGUUGCAUUUUUGACCUAGUUGCUUUUCUGAAGUCAUUCUGACCACAAGCCAAGAUAUUACUCUGUUACAUCAGACUGUACCACAAAAUGUGCCCAUCCUCUCUGUCACUGAGACUUGUGUUUUCCAUUAUCUUAUCAGUUUAUUUUCCUCUUAGACAUUCUACACUUGCAGCUUUUAGUCUCAUUGCAUGCACCGUGGUUUGUGAUACAGUGGAAAAGAGAAUACAUGUAAAUGGUAGAUCUAUUCAUAAGGAGCACUGGAGAAGUGAGGGCUUGCAGAGAAGGGCUUAAAGUGCACAUUGUAGAUUCUUGGUAGCUAUGCGAAGUUGUUAGCCCUGCCCAUGCUAUGACCUCACAAUCCUUUGAGGAGUAUCUAUCCCUUCUGCUGUGAAAGUGACAUUGGACUAUGGCUCUCUCCAAAUCUGUCAUCACGAGAGACUGCAGAGAGCGGGCUGUUCUUCAGAUGUGAGCUCAGCUGAUGGAAACGUCCUCCCUGGCCCUGCCACCAAACCAGCUGGUCUGAUCAAGGAAACAGAGUCAACCAAGGGAACUUUACUGCAGCUGAGAGCUGAAUAAAAGCCUGAGUCUGCAGGU